GACGAACGCUGGCGGCGUGCUUAACACAUGCAAGUCGAACGCUGAAGCUCAGCUUUUGUUGGGUGGAUGAGUGGCGAACGGGUGAGUAACACGUGAGUAACCUGCCCCCUUCUUUGGGAUAACGCCCGGAAACGGGUGCUAAUACUGGAUAUUCACUGGUCUUCGCAUGGGGGUUGGUGGAAAGGGUUUUUCUGGUGGGGGAUGGGCUCGCGGCCUAUCAGCUUGUUGGUGGGGUGAUGGCCUACCAAGGCUUUGACGGGUAGCCGGCCUGAGAGGGUGACCGGUCACAUUGGGACUGAGAUACGGCCCAGACUCCUACGGGAGGCAGCAGUGGGGAAUAUUGCGCAAUGGGCGCAAGCCUGAUGCAGCGACGCCGCGUGAGGGAUGGAGGCCUUCGGGUUGUGAACCUCUUUCGCUCAUGGUCAAGCCGCAACAAUGGUUGUGGUGAGGGUAGUGGGUAAAGAAGCGCCAGCUAACUACGUG
rnacentral:rRNA from 1 species